rnacentral:tRNA from 1 species
GCCCAGAUGGCGGAAUUGGUAGACGCGCAGGCUUCAGGUGCCUGUGUCCUUCGGGACGUGGAAGUUCGAGUCUUCUUCUGGGCA